UACGUAGGUGGCAAGCGUUGUCCGGAUUUACUGGGCGUAAAGAGCGCGCAGGCGGUCGUUCAAGUCGCGUGUGAAAGCCCCCGGCUCAACUGGGGAGGGUCACGCGAUACUGAUCGACUCGAAGGCAGGAGAGGGUAGUGGAAUUCCCGGUGUAGCGGUGAAAUGCGCAGAUAUCAGGAGGAACACCGGUGGCGAAGGCGGGUCUCUGGGCCGAUACUGACGCUGAGGAGCGAAAGCGUGGGGAGCAAACAGG
rnacentral:rRNA from 1 species